GGUAAAAUGGCCGAGUAAGCAUUAGACUGUAAAUCUAAAGACAGAGGUUCAAGCCCUCUUUUUACCA
rnacentral:tRNA from 2 species